UAUACCUCUCUCGUGAAGACUAAAGAGAGGAGUCAAUAGGGAGGAGAGUACGAAACCGUCCCGAUUACAAGUGUGCGCGUCACAUUAGCGUAUGUCGACUACGAAACUAAUUAAUUUACAUUAUUUGUUAUUUAUUUAUUAGCCGCAGAGGAGAUCGUUUAUCUUGAAAGUUGACGUUCUCGAGCAGACGUCGAGGAAUGUCCAAGAGAGGCAUUAAGGAUACCAGCCACAUCUGUGCAAUCCGCAAAAGCCAACUAUAUUUUCGUGUGGCCAUUUAUAACUGACCUGUUCCACUAGCCGCGACUACUUAGUGGCUAUUUUACAGUGGAAAAGUGGCCCGUAGGCUGGACACAAGGAAUGGUCCGAGGAGAGGGAAGGGGAGGACGAGUUCAAAAGUUCACAUGAAAAACAGCGUCAGGAAAUUGCUAGGAAAUGGCUGGGAGCGAAUGGUCACCCUUUCGACGCUCCUCGUUUCAUUUCUCGUCCUUAUAAUAAUCUAAAUAGCUCGAAGAGAAUCCUUUAAAAGAGCUGAGCCGGUUGUUAGAUUUAAAAAAUGUCGACGGAUACUCACUAAGCGAGCUUGAUGUCGGGGCAGGAAAUUAAGACCACUCCCUUUCUCGCCCACGUCCUACUACGAAUUUAUUUUCUUCUAAUCGUUCCUUCUUAUCCGUUCGUCCAUGUGUAAAUAUGUAUACAUCGAUGUUUAUUCUUUUUACCUUUCUCGAAUAUUUAACCUCGUGAGUUAAGUCGCUAAUGUGUACUUUAGAAGUCAACUAUUAGAGCUCUUUCUCUAUCUGUUUUUUUUUCUUAUUUUUGUUUACCAUUGUGAAAAGUACAUUCUUUUAUAUGUUCUCUUUCAGAAUGAAAACGCAUAAGUGAAUUAGGAAUUCUCGCGGAUUUCGAGUAAUAUAAAGAAUUUGAAGGUAAUCUCCUUUAUCUCGAAGCUUUCAAAUUUUAACUAUAGCAUGUAAAGAUGAGAAGAGGCAAUCGAAUCGACUGUCUUAACCUUUGGCAGACUUGGUAAUUCGUGAAAUCGAAGAGUUUCGUGAAGUACGAUUUUUUCCUCUCAUGUUUAUGCAUCGAAACGAGGGUUGUACGAUUUACGUAAGACAGUAAAGCUGAAAUUACAGCAGGAAGGAUAUUGCGGAGCUUCCAUCGUAGAACCGAUUCCUUUUAUCGUAACUAAAGGUUAUUACGAUGGAUACCCUCUCUUUCUCUUCGAAGAGAAACAGGUUCGUAGAAGGUUGUAACUUCGACUUUCGAAGUUUACCGUCUUACUUUUAUAUCCACUUGCUUUCUCGCAAUUUAGAAAUAACUUGAAAUUUAGAAAUCCCUCCGACAAGAAUGUUUCCUUGAUUUCAUUCGUUCAUUACUUACAAUAACGUACAAAUUUUGAUAACAAUGCUUUUGGAAUUUUCGAUUUAUGUCAAUAAUCGAUUAUUAUCGACCAUUACACGGAUUAAUCAAAUGUCACUGAAUUAUAUUUGAGGAUCAUAUGAGAUAACAAAAAUGGCAAUCGUUCUUAAAGAAGUUAAUCACCGUCUUCAAAGAAAGAUCAAUAAAAGAGAUUUAAUUAAUACGUCGCGAUCAUUAUUAACACCAAUUGUUGCCUGUCAAAAAUAGUUACAUUCUUACUUCAGAAUAGUUGGAUUUUUAAUUUUCUUCGCGUCGAAGUUACUCCUCUUGUAGACGUCAGCACAUUCAUCCCUUUGCCUUAUUUCCUCGUAUGAGGAAAAGACGUGAGAUCGCCAAGGGGGAUCAAUUUACAGUAAAAAAUAAAAAGAGAGAGUGAGAAAGAGAGAGAAAGGAAGAAAAAAGAAGGAGGCCUGUAAAAGCGGGGACCAACACCGCAGCUGUGAAACAACUCAAACGUAUAAAGAAACGACAGUGGAUAUAACGCGAAAACGCGUUUCCUGGCGGAAAUAAUUCGUGUUCAGAAUGGUCAGCUGGACCCUCCUACACGUAAAUCACGACGCUGCCGCAGAUCCAAUUAUCAAAUUGUCCGGCACUUCAGCCUAGUCAAGAGAACCAUCGAGAUGGCGUGAAACGACAGAGGAAAAGGGAGGAAAGGAAUAGAGCUGAAGGAGAUGCAACGAUGUGCUUCGAAGAAGAACGUACGUUCCAUGCUGCCGUCGAGGUGACAUUAUUGUUGACUAAUACUUAUCUGAGAAAUUCCAAUGAUGCAAAACGAGCAUAUCUUCGGCGUUAUCUUAUUUUUGAUAAAAUAUUUUCCUCUUGACGCUGGGUUACCAAGAACGUUGAAUUCUCCAUCAGAUUUUCUUCUCGGACAAAGGUCAAUGUGAAAUAUGAUUAUAAGAUUGUUUCGAGCGAAUAAUAAACUAACAAUGAUUCGAUUUCUCGAGGAAAGAUCGGGAAAGAGUGAGCGAAAAAAGAUAAAUUCUCAACCGCGGUCGAUGGUUUCAUCGGGCGACCGAAAAUAUCUGAACGAGGAGGUUUCUCCCUCGGGCAACGACAAUUGAGUCAAUUUAGAGAGCGGUUUUGAUAGGUCGCCUGACAUGUGAGCGCGUUACACGGCAGGUGUUCUGAAAUAUUACGCCCGCGUGCUACGCCAAUUAUCCCCGACGUCAUGCCCGAAAGGCGUAAUGGACGAUUACUACCGACACCAAAUCGCGACGCUUUUUUAUUUGUCCCCAUUUUGAACUGAGUUCAGAGAUGCUGCAAAGAGCAUCGCCUAUAUGCGUCUUCUAUUCGAUGGAUGAGAAUUUCUUUCGCUAUUAUCUAACAUAUACGCAAACGAUCGAUGACGAUCUACAAUUAAUAAAAUUAAACGUAAUAACGUAUAUACAUACCACAUAUAUUCACUAAAGUUAUAUUAUAUCGUGUUAUUUAUUAACAAGACGAAACUGUUUUUAAAAUACGCAAUAAAAUUGUAACGAAAUUAAUUCACUUACGAAUCUUUCUCUUACCAAGGCACAAGCACACAAGAUAAUCGUUCGGCGUCUGAUUCGAUACUGUUAUUUAAUCGCUUAUUCCAUCUUUCGGUGAUCCUUAUUGAUAAACAGAGGUCCCCAAUAUGUAGAAAUCAAAACAUACACACGUACUAGAUAUAUUUAUAUUGUAUUAUGUGACCUUACAAUGUGUCGAAUGUAUACACAUAUACAAUAUUCCCCGAGGGCCUUCCCUGAUUAUCAAACAAUGACUUACGUACCAAUAAAGUAUGUUAAAAAUACACAGGUGACUUUUUGAUUUAUAUACGAUUAUUUUUAUGUAUCGAUGUGUGUGUUUUUAAUCUGUUUCCUUCGAUCGUUUUUUACCGAUAAUAUAUAUUGGAAUAUAAUGUCGAAAUUGAAUAUAAGUCGAUAAGCCAAGACGAUAAAAGCACUAGUAUAGAGAAAGUAUAGAUAUUGAAAUUUAAUAUUUUAAAAUCGUGAAUUUAUUUGUAUUCAUGAUCUUCCUUUAAAAAGAAUAACUUUUUGUUCUAAUACUAAUCGUAUAAUUUCGUGUAUAGAAUACUAUCAAGAUGUCAAAAGUUACCUUUUCCCUACUCGUUAUUGCAUUAAUAAUGUGCAUUAUUGUACAAACUAUUUUGACUGCACCAACCUUGCAAGAGAACGAAGAAGGACAAUUGGCCGGAUGCGGUCAUCAGGCUGCUCACUGUAAAAGAAACUCAGAUUGCUGCUUUUAUCUGAAAUGUCACAACUACGCUAAAUUGUGCCUGCCUUAGGAAGAACAAAUUAAAACAGAACACACACACACUCAUAUAACUGGACACGUUAGCUAAUCUAAUACGAUUACUAUUGUGUUAUUUAUAUUACUUAUUAAAGUUCGUAAACGUUACAAUUAUGAUCAUAAGAAUGUAAAAUAAAACUAUACGUUUAAUAUCAA